GAAACUUUACAAACAUGCACCACAUAAAAUAGUUCGGCCUUCAACUCCACUACAAAUCCAGUUACAAUGAAGCUUCAUCCAGUUACAACUACAGCCCUAGAACCUAGUAACUAUUACAAAAAUGAGCACAUAAAGAGAAUGAAAGGUGCAAUGAAGCUUCAUCUCAGUCAAACAUGUUACAAUGACUAACAGUUAACUAGUCCUACAUUACAUUGUGAAAUGAGCACAAUAUGUGAUUUGACUUGUAACUAUAUUCAUGUGUGUAUACU
rnacentral:lncRNA from 1 species